rnacentral:misc_RNA from 1 species
AACGCACAUUGCGCCCUUUGGUAUUCCGAGGGGCAUGCCCGUUCGAGCGUCAUUUCACCAAUCAAGCCCAGCUUGGUAUUGGGUCAUGGGGGCAACCCUGACCUUAAUGUCUCGCGGCUGGAACACCUCAAACUCAGCGUUGUGAAUCAAAUUCGCUUUGGGAACAGGUGGUCCAUCGCCGUUAAACAUCUUCUAAAGGUUGACCUCGGAUCGGGUAGGGAUACCCGCUGAACUUAA